CGGGACUACCCGGACCUCAGGAACGCUCAGUGUCAGGAAAAGGAGCCCCCGGCCCCGGGCGGUGCAGGGGGAACAGGGACAUCGGGGCCACUUGAGUGCAGAGAGAGGACAGUCAGGCCAGGGAAAGGGAGAGAAAUGUUUUCGAGAGAAAUUUGGAGUUGCCUUUGCCUGUGUCCCCAGUCUCGCACACCCUCCUGGGCUGGGGUCGCAUUUGGCCCCUUAUGCCCAGAUGCCAUGGGGCUGGGGGAUAAAAAUCCCUCUGGUGGAUUCUGCGGUCAAAACCCUCCAAAAAAAAAAAAAAUCCAUCCGUCAUUUCAGAGGGCUGAACUUCCAAAUUCCCCCGGAGGGAGAGAUUGUGCCUGGAGUGGGGAAUUUGUGCCCAGAGUGGGGGUUUACUGCAGAUCCCCACCAGUGGUCUCUGCUCCACCUGCUGUGUCAGGACUUGUGGUUUGGGUGGGGUUUGGAGCCAGGCUGGAGCUCGGUGACUCUGUCCUAGGGCAGGAGACAUUUCCCACAGGCUCCUGGUCUGUCCUGUCCAUUGCUGCCUCCACGGUGUCCCCAGGUUCAGCUUUUUCCUCUUCCUGCUCUUCUUCUCCAGCAGCCAAGGGUGAGUCUGUGCCUGGGCCAGGGGUGCUGGACAUCUCAGGGCACUUGAGGCUGGGGAGUGGGGCUGCCUGGGGGGCUUUGUUCUUGGGAGUCCCUUUCUCCCAGCAGUUCUGCCUACUCUUGUCUUUGCCCAGGCUCUUCCCUGCCUUGCCCAGAUUCACCCUGGGCAUGGUGCCCAUGUGGGAGUACAUGUUCGACGACUGGGCGUAGGGGCCAGGGCUCUUGGGCAUGGUGCUGAGAUCAUCCUGGGUGCUGUCAAAGGGCUCUCCCGGGAAGCCGUGGGGAGGUGGGACAUGUGGUCUGAGAUUGUCAGGAGAGCUGGGGUCCACAGGGACACGCCGGAAGGUGAAGGAGCGGGGGAUGCUGCUCAGGCUCCCAAAGCCUUUGAACCUGAAAAACUCUGGCAAGGAGAAAGAAGUGAUGAGUGUGGGGUUACUGCUGGCACGGUGUGAUGAUGGGGGAUCCCAG
rnacentral:lncRNA from 1 species